rnacentral:lncRNA from 1 species
AAUUACUAUAAAUAGCCUGAAGCUCUUUCUACUGUAUCAUGUUCUAAACAAUCAUGUUUUAUAGGGCUGUUUAUUCCUGUCUUCGGAGGAAACAGGAGAAUAAAACAAUUCUGGAGAGUCCAGCAUUCAUAAAAGCAAAACUGUAAAUAUAUCAUAUGAGUAGUAGCAUAUAAAAACCACAUAACUUGGCCUAUAUCCAGGUGCAGUGGAGACUCCAGCAUAUUGGAGAUGCCAGUGUGGUGGACACUGUAGACAUCACCAAGAACAGCAGCAGGAGAAAGAUGGGCAACAGCAACAGAUAAGAAAGGUUCUAAUGGCCAUGCCGAAAUUAAUACCUUCAACCCAGGAUAGCAGGUGCAAUAUCUUCAGAAACUGGGACCUGCAGAUGAACUACAAAUAA